GACGGAGGAGGCAUGCGUUAUUCGGAAUUAUUGGGCGUAAAGGGUACGUAGGCGGCUGGUCAAGUCUGGGGUCAAAGGCCACAGCUCAACUGUGGGAAGGCCCUGUAAACUGACCGGCUACAGUUAGUUAGGGGUUGCGGGAAUUCCCGGUGUAGCGGUGAAAUGCGUAGAGAUCGGGAAGAACACCUGAGGCGGAAACGCGCAACUUGGCCUCAACUGACGCUGAGGUACGAAAUCUAGGAGACCAAAUGAG
rnacentral:rRNA from 1 species